AGCUUUGCGCAGUGGCGAUAUCGUAACCAAUGAGGUACAUCCGAGGUGCGAUUAUUGCUAGUUGAAAAAAAAUUAUUUCAUUCAAUUUCAGUUAAUCUUCAGAAUAACAAGGGGUCAAUGAUUAGAAAGGCAGAAUAGUU